rnacentral:rRNA from 1 species
UGUUUCGGCUAGGGGGUCAUCCCGACUUACCAACCCGAUGCAAACUACGAAUACCGAAGAAUGUUAUCACGGGAGACACACGGCGGGUGCUAACGUCCGUCGUGAAGAGGGAAACAACCCAGACCGCCAGCUAAGGUCCCAAAGUCACAGUUAAGUGGGAAACGAUGUGGGAAGGCACAGACAGCCAGGAUGUUGGCUUAGAAGCAGCCAUCAUUUAAAGAAAGCGUAAUAGCUCACUGGUCGAGUCGGCCUGCGCGGAAGAUGUAACGGGGCUAAACUGUGCACCGAAGCUGCGGCAGCGACACUAUGUGUUGUUGGGUAGGGGAGCGUUCUGUAAGCCUGCGAAGGUGGCCUGUGAGGGUUGCUGGAGGUAUCAGAAGUGCGAAUGCUGACAUAAGUAACGAUAAUGCGGGUGAAAAGCCCGCACGCCGGAAGACCAAGGGUUCCUGUCCAACGUUAAUCGGGGCAGGGUGAGUCGACCCCUAAGGCGAGGCCGAAAGGCGUAGUCGAUGGGAAACAGGUUAAUAUUCCUGUACUUGGUGUUACUGCGAAGGGGGGACGGAGAAGGCUAUGUUAGCCGGGCGACGGUUGUCCCGGUUUAAGCAUGUAGGCGGAGGUUCCAGGUAAAUCCGGUACCUUUUUAACGCUGAGGUGUGAUGACGAGGCACUACGGUGCUGAAGUAACAAAUGCCCUGCUUCCAGGAAAAGCCUCUAAGCAUCAGGUAACAUUAAAUCGUACCCCAAACCGACACAGGUGGUCAGGUAGAGAAUACCAAGGCGCUUGAGAGAACUCGGGUGAAGGAACUAGGCAAAAUGGUGCCGUAACUUCGGGAGAAGGCACGCUGAUAUGUAGGUGAAGCCCCUGCGGGUGGAGCUGAAAUCAGUCGAAGAUACCAGCUGGCUGCAACUGUUUAUUAAAAACACAGCACUGUGCAAACACGAAAGUGGACGUAUACGGUGUGACGCCUGCCCGGUGCCGGAAGGUUAAUUGAUGGGGUUAUCCGUAAGGAGAAGCUCUUGAUCGAAGCCCCGGUAAACGGCGGCCGUAACUAUAACGGUCCUAAGGUAGCGAAAUUCCUUGUCGGGUAAGUUCCGACCUGCACGAAUGGCGUAAUGAUGGCCAGGCUGUCUCCACCCGAGACUCAGUGAAAUUGAACUCGCUGUGAAGAUGCAGUGUACCCGCGGCAAGACGGAAAGACCCCGUGAACCUUUACUAUAGCUUGACACUGAACAUUGAGCCUUGAUGUGUAGGAUAGGUGGGAGGCUUUGAAGCGUGGACGCCAGUCUGCGUGGAGCCAACCUUGAAAUACCACCCUUUAAUGUUUGAUGUUCUAACGUUGGCCCCUUAUCGGGGUUGCGGACAGUGUCUGGUGGGUAGUUUGACUGGGGCGGUCUCCUCCCAAAGAGUAACGGAGGAGCACGAAGGUUAGCUAAUCCUGGUCGGACAUCAGGAGGUUAGUGCAAUGGCAUAAGCUAGCUUGACUGCGAGCGUGACGGCGCGAGCAGGUGCGAAAGCAGGUCAUAGUGAUCCGGUGGUUCUGAAUGGAAGGGCCAUCGCUCAACGGAUAAAAGGUACUCCGGGGAUAACAGGCUGAUACCGCCCAAGAGUUCAUAUCGACGGCGGUGUUUGGCACCUCGAUGUCGGCUCAUCACAUCCUGGGGCUGAAGUAGGUCCCAAGGGUAUGGCUGUUCGCCAUUUAAAGUGGUACGCGAGCUGGGUUUAGAACGUCGUGAGACAGUUCGGUCCCUAUCUGCCGUGGGCGCUGGAGAAUUGAGGGGGGCUGCUCCUAGUACGAGAGGACCGGAGUGGACGCAUCACUGGUGUUCGGGUUGUCAUGCCAAUGGCAUUGCCCGGUAGCUAAAUGCGGAAGAGAUAAGUGCUGAAAGCAUCUAAGCACGAAACUUGCCCCGAGAUGAGUUCUCCCUGAGACUUUAAGUCUCCUGAAGGAACGUUAAAGACGAUGACGUUGAUAGGUCGGGUGUGUAAGCGUAGCGAUACGUUGAGCUAACCGAUACUAAUGAACCGUGAGGCUUAACCUU